GCCACUCCUCUUGAUUCUUUUGUAGGUGUAGUGAGUAACGGGCUUUUUUUUUUUUCAUUUUUGUUUCCUUUUUUGCCCUUGAACUACUGUAAAAAAAAAAAAAAAAAAGUGGUAGCAGCAGCAGCAGUAGUUCAUCCAUUUUGAAUCAUGAAUCUUUAGCGCUAUAGAUUUUCGCCUUGUCUGCCUCCCCGCAGGUCUCGUGGGCGGUUGGCUGUACAUCCACCACAACCUCCUCACCACGCUGGAGGAGGAGGUGUGGAGGCCGCUGGUGGAGAACGACGGCUACAUCGACCCCUACGGUAACCCGCUCCUGUGCGGGUGUGACAUAGCGUGGCUGGUACGCAACGGCACCCUACUGGAGGCUGUGGACGUGUAUACGACGUGUGCUGAUGGCAGGGUGUUGGCAAGCCUCGACCCUGCUGACUACGACCACUGCUGAGUCCCGUCCGUCCACUUCUUGUGUUUGCCUGUCUCCCUCCUUCCCCUUCCUCCCUGACAAGGCAAUCUCCAACAAUAAAGUGACGAGCAGGACCUUCACUUCUGGUAUUGUACGAAAUUAUGUAAGGUGAAGCAUUUUUUAGUAUAAUUUACUUUGAUGUCGACUGGUGACGGGCAAGGCAUAAUAAUUUAUAUCGUCAAUAGACCUAUAAACUAAA